GUCUGCUCGCAGAGAGGAGGCUCCCCCAGAGUCCUGACUGGCUUCAUAUGGAGUAGUUCCAGAGCACUGCCCGGUGACUCCGUGACAGGCAUCACGGACGGAGUGGAUCUUGAGGAAUAACUUGAAGUGGAAGAGAACAGAGGCCUGACAGAUUAGUUCAGUUCCGUGCUCAUGGCCAGCAUGGAAGGAAGCAGGGAGAUCUUUGUGGAAGGAAUUUGUGGAGAAAAUGGAGGAGCAAAGCAGAUAUGCAGGAAGAGGAAGAGUUUGGAAGAGCCUUAAAGACUGUGAUAAGAAACUUGAAACUUGAUGGAGCAGAAAAUAAGGAGCCAGCCCCUCAGAGCCUGAUUGAAACAAAGCUCACAGCAGUCAAUGCUGGAGCACCAAGGCACAAAGAGAAAGCGACCUGCCCAAGGUGACGCUGGAGUCUGUAGACCUGGUCUCCGAAUUUCUGAGUCCCAGCUCAGUGCGAAUCUGAAGUUUAGCAGAUUAACAUCAGUAGCAACAAGAUGUGGGGUACGCGGCCCCGGCUCGGCAGCAUCUCUGUUCUUAUUCCACGGUUCCUCCCAGAGAUGAAUUUUAGCUUUCGCACAGCUUUGCUAAUGCUCCCGCUGUAAGACUGCCAAGCUUCAAGGUGGACCCCGUUUCUGCUCAGCAGUCCUUCUUCCCAGAACAGCAUCCCAUGGCCAAGGAAGCUGAAACCUCUUGGUGAUACCAUCCUCACAGCCAGGUAUUCACCUCUAGGAUACAUCUGUCUCUGCCAAGACCCCUACCCUUGACUGGAAGGACUGAAGAGAACACCACUUACACCCCCAACUCCUUCACUCUUACUUCCAGAGCCCUGUAGUCACUUCUGAUCUGCUGAGGGUCAGACCUCGCAGUAUCAUUAAGGCCCACAUGGAUGAAUGUACUUGGGUCACAUUUUCAGGUUUUUCUCUGCAACCACAAGGGCUGGGGAAAUGUUUUUCUUAAAAUAAAGAAAGUUGAGAUUCUCCGGUAAUCAUAAAAUCACGAGAGUCGGUAACACUGGUGAUUGGUGCCUACUAAACCAGUCUCUCGAUCUACAAAGGAAGGAUUGGACUCUGGGUCACUCCUCUCUCAAUUCACUGCUGGCACUUCAGGGCUAACAGCAAUGAAAACCAGCUCGGAAUUCAAG